UCAGGCAGUAAAAAGGAUACAAUUUUCUUUAGGAAUGUAGUGAAGUAAAAAUAAAAGUUGUCAAAAAUAUAAAUAGUAAAGUAAAGUACAGAUUAGAGGUCGACCUCUAGUACAGAUACCCCAAAAAACUACUUAAGUAGUACUUUAAAGUAUUUUAACUUAAGUACUUUACACCACUGGAAAUUAGUAGACCUCAUUAAAAACAAUAAAACACUGGUAAAUGAAUACAGUCUAUUAAAAUACAAUAAUAACUAGUGAUAAAAGCAUAUGGCAGUUUAAAGGCCCAGUGCAGUCCAGUGGCGUAGCUAAACAUUUGUUGAUGGGUGGGCCUGCAGAAAUUUGGGUGUCCCCCCAAAUAAUGUUCAGUUAUAUAGCUGAUCUCAUGCUAUAUUACACAUUUUGCCAUGAGGCUUAGAGAAAAUGUUGCUGUUUUAAAGCUCGUCACAUGCUAUUCUACACAUUUUGCCAUGAGGCUGAGAGAACAUUUUGCAUUUUUAAAGCUAAUUAAAUAAAAAAUAUAGGUGUGUUGACUGUGAUAAGGGCACUGGAUUAAUAUGUUGUCUUGUUUGCUAAAUUAACAAAUGAAGUAGGCAGUGGCAUGGUGCAUAUACAGUUCAUUCGGAAAGUGUUCAGACCCCUUCCCUUUUUCAACAUUUUUACGUUACAGCCAUCUUCACAAUUAUUUUAUUUUUUUAUCCUCGGCAAACUACAGACAAUACCUCAUAAAGACAAAGCGAAAAAAACAUUUUGUUUUUGCAAAUGUAUUAAAAAUAAAAAACAGAAAUACCUUAUUUACAUAAAUAUUCAGACCCUUUGCUUUGAGAGUUGAAAUUGAGCUCAGGUGCAUCCUGUUUCCAUUAGUCAUCCUUGAGAUGUUUCUAAAACUUGAUUGGAGUCCACCAGUGGUAAAUUCAAUUGAUUGGACAUGAUUUGGAAAGGCACACACCUGUCUAUAUAAGGUCCCACAGUUGACUGUGCAUGUCAUAGAAAAAUCCAAGCAAUGAGGUCGAAGGAAUUGUCUGUAGAGUUCCGAGACAGGAUUGUGUCAAGGCACAGAUCUGGUGAAGGGUACCAAAUAAAUUAUGCAGCAUUGAAUGUCCCCAAGAACACAGUGGCCUCCAUAAUUAAUUUAAUAGAAGAAGUUUGGAACCACCAAGACUCUUCCUAGAGCUGGCCACCUGACCAAAAUGAGCAAUCGGGGGAGAAGGGCCUUGGUCAGGGAGGUGACUAAGAACCAGAUGGACACUGACAGAGAUCCAGAGUUCCUCUGUGGAGAUGGAGCAGAACAAUAAGGUCUUUAUGCAUGCUCAGAGAGAACAGAACACUAGGUUACAUGAUGUGGAAAUACAGAUUUGACUUCCACUUUGUAUUUUUUCAUGGUAUUUUCCAAUUGUCUAUCUACCAUUCAACAUGUAUCUACACUGAACAAAAAUAUAAACACAACAUGUAGCAAUUUUACUGAGUUACAGUUCAUAUAAGGAAAGCGUUCGAUUGAAAUAAAUUCAUUAGACCCUAAUCUAUGGAUUUCACAUGACUGGGAAUACAGAUAUGCAUCUGUUGGUCACAGAUACUGUAAUGUUCAGGCAUGACAGUGCAGGAAGACCGAUAAUUGUGUACGACAACACCAACCUAAUAUGACACCACAUGGUGGAUCAAUAGUACUACAGUCAAUACAGUGCAUCAGAAGCAACGCAACAACCAGCCAGCUGCCAACAAGCACACACAAAGGGCUAAAGCAAACAACCAAUGCAGGAAUUGUGGAGGCAAAUACCCACAUUAUGGAGACUGUCCAGUGAAAGGAAAAGAGUGCAAAGCUUGUGGGAAACAAAAUCCUUUGCAAAGCAGUGCAGCUCAAAACCAAAGCAGGAGCAACACAUGGAUACCAGAGCCAUUGCUAAAGACCGAUCAACCAAGUAGGUGAAACACAUAGAGGAGGUGGGAGGCCAAACUCAACAAGCAGUGAUGAUGCCAAGGUGUUUGUAGUUAAGUGACAAAAGCCUUAAACAGCCACAGACACAUUCAGCUAAAUGGUGUCAGAGUAGGAGUUCUGAUAGACUAGAGUAGAGUAGCAUAUCUGAUAGACUAUAGUGGAGUAGCAGUUCUGAUAGACUAGAGUAGAGUAGCAGUUCUGAUAGACUAUAGUGGAGUAGCAGCUCUGAUAGUGUAGAGUAGAGUAACAGUUCUGAUAGUCUAGAGUAGCAGUUCUGAUAGACUAGAGUAGAGUAGCAGUUCUGAUAGACUAGAGUAUAGUAACAGUUCUGAUAGACUAGAGUAGAGUAGAGGUUCUGAUAGGCUAGAGUAGAGUAGGGUAACAGUUCUGAUAGAGUAGAGUAGCAGUUAUGAUAGACUAGAGUAGAGUAGAGGUUCUGAUAGACUAGAGUAGAGUAGAGGUUCUGAUAGAGUAGAGUAGCAGUUAUGAUAGACUACAGUAGAGUAGAGGUUCUGAAAGACUAGAGUAGAGUAGAGUAGACGUUCUGAUAGACUAGAGUAGAGUAGAAGUUCUUAUAGACUAGAGUAGAGUAACAGUUCUGAUAGACUUGAGUAGAGUAGCAGUUCUGAUAGAAUAGAGUAGUGUAGCAGUUCUGAUAGACUAGAGUAGAGUAGAGGUUCUGAUAGAGUAGAGUAGCAGUUCUGAUAGACUAGAGUAGAGUAGAGUAACAGUUCUGAUAGACUAGAGUAGAGUAACAGUUCUGAUAGACUAGAGUAGAGUAGAGGUUCUGAUAGACUAGAG
rnacentral:lncRNA from 1 species